GAUGAACGCUAGCUACAGGCUUAACACAUGCAAGUCGAGGGGCAGCAUGCAGGUAGCUUGCUAUCUGUGAUGGCGACCGGCGCACGGGUGAGUAACGCGUAUCCAACCUACCCGCGAGCGGGGUAUAGCCCGGCGAAAGUCGGAUUAAUCCCCCAUACCUCCCAUGACGUCCUCGGAGUGGGAGCAAAGGCUUUAGCCGCUUGCGGAUGGGGAUGCGUCCGAUUAGGAAGUAGGCGGGGUAACGGCCCACCUAUCCAUCGAUCGGUAGGGGUUCUGAGAGGAAGGUCCCCCACACUGGUACUGAGACACGGACCAGACUCC
rnacentral:rRNA from 1 species